rnacentral:rRNA from 1 species
UACGUAGGGGGCGAGCGUUGUCCGGAUUUAUUGGGCGUAGAGAGCGUGUAGGCGGCCAGGUAGGUCUGCUGUGAAAACUCGAGGCUCAACCUCGAGACGUCGGCGGAAACCAUCUGGCUAGAGUCCGGAAGAGGAGAGUGGAAUUCCUGGUGUAGCGGUGAAAUGCGCAGAUAUCAGGAAGAACACCCGUGGCGAAGGCGGCUCUCUGGGGCGGUACUGACGCUGAGACGCGAAGGCGUGGGGAGCGAACGGG